GCUUAUAAGUUGAGCCGUGGGUGCAAUGUUGUCUCACAGAAGAUUAGCAUGGCCAUGCGCAAGGAGGACACGCACAAAUCAAGAAAUGGUCCAAAUUUUU